AGGGAACCCUGCAGCUGCAACUCAAAGAAAUAUAUUGAUAAAAUAUUUCAGUAGUAAUAAAUACGCGGAGAUCAGCUCGACCUUGCAAGGUCUUUAUUUUAAUUCCCCCCCCACCCCCCAUAUAUUAAAAUCUUUAUCAAACGUCUAUUCUAUGGCUUCAAUAAACAGAACCCAUUACCUCACGGCAGCUUUUGUUGGCCUGUAUACAAGCGAGAACAAAAUGGUUAUUCAGGAGAACGCUUUCGAUUUUUAUUGUGUGUAGUAUGCACAAAGAGCAGUGUUAUUGUAUUAAAAAGAACCAUCUGUAGCAGAAACAAUGGCAUCAAAUUAUCUUUGAAUACCCACUGCAAAAAUAUAAAGCUUUUUUAUUAUUCUUCUGCUGUACGGUGGGGGACAGAGAAGUGACUUUUUUGUUGUUGGACUGCAGUUAAAAGCUAGGGCUAGGAUUUGGAGGAUGUGUAGGCAAAUGGAAGGAGAGCCGGGGGAAGAAAAACCGAAAUGGAUUCAUUCUCCGUCCUGGAUGGAGGAGGAGAGGAGAGGAGAAGGGGACGUGCGAGCUUCCUUCAGCUGCCUCUGUCCGGUGAAAAGUGCUCGAAGCCCCGGGGCUGCCUUGGGCUCAGGAGUCCGCGCGGACUUUCGCUGUAAACUGCCAAUCAAACUGCUAACUAGCCACCACCCUGCUCUGGCACGGACAUGUAAGUAGCUGCAGCCCAACUUUGACAUUCACACUUUUUCCCCCCUCCUCCCCCGUGACCUUUAAAACGAUCGAGAAACCCGGCUCCCACCUACGACCCGCCGCUCCGAGCUGGCGAGCGUGAAACUCGGGGAGCGGUGCGCGCCGGGCGGCUUCGGCUUUCACCAAAUUUCAGCGGCAACCGCUUGGCGAGCGGAGCUCCAGGCAGGAGCGCUGCCUCCCCGAGCCUGCCCCUUGCCCCGGCUCUCACUGCUUCAACCGGGGCCGGGGUUAUCCCGCGGGGAGAGCCGCGGAGCGCGGCCGGCACCGCGGUGCCCCCAUCCUGCGCGGUGCCCCCAUCCUGCGCGGUGCCCCCAUCCUGCGCGGUGCCCCCAUCCUGCGCGGUGCCCCCAUCCUGCGCGGUGCCCCCAUCCUGCGCGGUGCUGAUCCCGCAAGGCUCCUGCGGCUGGGGCCCUCCGCGGGGGCGGCUGCGGGCUGGGGGCUGCCGCCCGGCCGGGGCUCACCUGGGCGCGCAGCGGCGCGCAGCGCUGGCGCAACGCCCGCGCAACGCCCGCGCUCUGGCGCCCCCUGCCGGCUGAGCGCCGCGCAACCCGCACCCGCCCGCUCCCCGCCUCCCCACGCUCGCCCGGGGAAAGCGGGGCGGCCGCGGACAUCGCCCCCCCGGCGGCUCCUGGGCUGGCAAGGGGGGGUCCGGCCCGAGGGGAGACGCGGGGCGAAGGGGCCGUGCCCCGGGAAGUUGCGAAUAAAUCGCGACGUGUGACUGCCGCCGGCUAACGGUGCCUCUUGACGCACCGCAAUUUGGGCCGGGGAAGAUCGAUUUUGACGUUUGGGCUCAUUAUAAUGCCAUUUAAAGGGAAGCUCUUUUUAGUUACAGUUAGCAAAGUUGAGGUUGGAUUUUCUCCCCCUCUUCCCCUCCUCUUUUUUGGGGGGUAAGAAUUUGGUAGAUAAAGGUUAAUCUUGGGCUGAAUGAUAGAGCUGUGAUUGACAAGAGAAAAGGUGUUGAGGGCAGGUCGAGCUGUCUUAUUUACAGCCCACUGCUUGCUAUAGAGCCUUUGUUAGGACUGGAAAGCUAAUUUAGUGCUGAUCAAAAGCACCACAGAGUUAAAGGACUGGUAAUGACUGCUAAUUUCAUUUCAGCCUCAUACAUCCCCAACUGCUGUAAUUAAAGACGUGCUAUUUAAAUACAGGUGAAGAGUUUUUGUAGUAGGGGGAAAGUGGGUAGCCGGUUACAAUUUGAUUUAUGCUUAAUAUGGUAAAAGACCGGCGGCUGCUGCCUGGUUUUGGCGGCGGGCCUUUGUGCGGCACCCCGCCUCUGCGGAGCCGGCCCCGCGGGGAAAGGGGGGCGCAGCCCGGGGCGCACGGGGAGCCGAGCCCCGGGCUGCCGGGGGUCGGUGCCGCUCCUAAUUGUUCCCAUCGAACAAGCCGGCGAGCCCUGGGAGAGCCAGGGAGAGGGGAGACGGAGGGGCAUGUGUCAGCCUUGAAGUGCCUCUGCGGAAGCUCGGGUCCUCAUAUUAUUAUUAUUUUUAAUUAAAUUAUUUUACCACUCCGCGCCUGGUUCGCUGGCUCCAAAGCGAUGUAAUUUCACGACCGAUAUAUAACAGUUUCUUUCUGGGGAAACAUCAAAGGAUAAAAGCUCUACGUUUUCGUAGUUGGUUAAAAUUGAUACAAAAAAAAAAAAAAAAAAAAAAAAAAAAGAAUUUAGCCUUUAAUCUCUUUUUAUCCCCCAAGACUGAAGAUCUGUACUCGACCCCGCUAAGCUCCGGGCUCCCCCCCUUCCGGGGCCGCGGCGGGCGGCUGGCAGCUCCCCCUGUCGGCAGCGCCCGGAGCCGCCGCUGCCCGCGGAACUUGCGCGGCUCAAACCAGCGCGGGGAGCGCGGCACCGGGCGAGGAGCGGAGCCAGGCGGUGUCGCCGAGCCGCUGGGCUUUGUAAGGCAAACUGCGAAAAAAAAAAAAAAAAA